AUUCUGAGUAACUAUGUUCUGCAGGAGGGAUAUUUUGUAGUCAUUCUGUUGAUCUUCUUAUGUUAGCUCUAAAUAUAGUUGCUCGGUUUGUAAUCAUUCUUUCUCAUAUAAUUACAAUGAAUAUAAUGAUUCCUACAAUAGAAAUUGUAGACCCAAUUCUUGAUACUACGUUUCAUGAUGUAUAUGCGUCUGGGUAGUCAGAGUAUCGUCGAGGUAUUCCUGCUAAUCCUAGGAAGUGUUGAGGAAAGAAUGUUAAAUUUACUCCAAUGAAUAUAAUUGUAAAUUGGAUUUUUAAUCAUGUAUUAUUUAUAGUUAAUCCUGUAAAUAGUGGAUAUCAUUGAAUGACACCUCCUAUAAUUGCAAAUACUGCUCCUAUAGAUAAUACAUAAUGAAAGUGGGCUACUACAUAAUAUGUAUCAUGUAAUACAAUAUCAAGUGAUGAAUUUGCUAAUACUAAUCCUGUUAAUCCACCAAUUGUAAAUAGGAAAAUAAAUCCUAGAGCUCAUAAUAAUGGUGGAUUGAACUUGAAUUUAGUUCCAUAUAAUGUAGCUAAUCAUCUAAAUACCUUAAUUCCUGUAGGUACAGCAAUAAUUAUUGUUGCUGAUGUAAAAUAUGCUCGUGUGUCAACAUCCAUUCCUACUGUAAAUAUAUGAUGUGCUCAUACAAUAAAUCCUAUUAGUCCAAUUGAUAGUAUAGCAUAAAUUAUACCUAAUGUUCCAAAUGAUUCAAUUUUUCCUCUUUCUUGACAUACAAUAUGUGAAAUAAUUCCGAACCCCGGUAGAAUUAAAAUAUAAACUUCUGGGUGUCCAAAGAAUCAAAAUAGAUGUUGAUAUAGAAUUGGGUCACCCCCUCCUGCAGGGUCAAAGAAUGAUGUAUUUAAAUUUCGAUCUGUUAAUAAUAUAGUAAUAGCUCCUGCUAAAACUGGAAGUGAAAGAAGGAGAAGUAAUGCUGUAAUAGCUACAGAUCAUACAAAUAAAGGUGUUUGAUCUAAAGUUAUACUUUCUGAUCGUAUAUUAAUUGCUGUUGUAAUGAAAUUCACUGCCCCAAGAAUAGAUGAUACACCUGCUAAGUGCAGUGAAAAAAUAGCUAGAUCUACAGAUGCACCCCCGUGUGCAAUAGCUCCUGCUAGAGGAGGGUAAACUGUUCAUCCUGUACCAGCACCAUUAUCUACUAUAGAAGAUGUAAGAAGAAGGGUUAGUGAAGGUGGUAGUAAUCAAAAACUUAUAUUAUUUAUUUGUGGAAA